rnacentral:rRNA from 1 species
CCUACGGGAGGCAGCAGCAGGGAAUCUUGCGCAAUGGGCGAAAGCCUGACGCAGCAACGCCGCGUGGGGGAUGAAGGCCUUCGGGUUGUAAACCCCUUUCAGGAGGGAAGAAAAUGACGGUACCUCCAGAAGAAGCCCCGGCCAACUACGUGCCAGCAGCCGCGGUAAU